UAGGUGUCAAGUGCCACAGCUACGUUUGCCAUGACAUUUUCUGCAUCCAUGUCUGUCAUAGAGUAUUAUCUGUUGAAACGUUUUCCCGUUCCUUAUGCACUAUACUUUGCUGCUGUCACAACUGUCGCCGCCUUGGUAGGGCAGCAUGUGGUAAGAAAGCUUAUCAGUAUAUUCGGGAGAGCGUCUAUAAUCAUCUUCAUUCUGUCAUUCACAAUA
rnacentral:misc_RNA from 1 species